rnacentral:lncRNA from 1 species
GUUAAAGAAGUGGGAAAAGUUGCUGCAUUCCUAGGAUUCUCCUGUAACUUCUUAAAUCUAUCCAAGCAAUUCGAAUGCCUAUAACUGGUAUCACAAAUGUAAGAUUUGCAGCCCUUGUCAUGGGAGCUGCAUAGGAGGAGGACAGCAUUAUGUGGAUAGUCCAUGCAAAUGGGACAUGAAACCUCUUCCAGUUCUUUGUG